ensembl:snRNA U6 U6 spliceosomal RNA
GUCCUUAAAAAUGAAGGCAGCACAUGUACUAAAAUUGGAAUGAUACAGAGAAGAUUAGCAUGCCCCUGCACAAGGAUGACAUGCAAAUUUGUGAAGGGUUCCAUAUUAAA